AGGCUGUUGGGACAGCAGGAGUGAGUGCUGUGAUUGGCUGGGACCUCGAUGUCACAAAGGUCAGGGACAGCUGCCAGAGAAUGAAGCAGAGGGCUGUGGGGUGAAGGGACUGCCAGUCUUCUGCCACUCCUUUUCGUGGUCCUUCCCUUCACUGCCUUCCUUCUCCCAGACAGACUGGGCAUCCAGUUCCAAUCCAAAGGCUGCCCCUUUGACCAGGCCCAUCUUCUCCACCUCACAUCAGACAGCCAAUCGGCUGCCCAGACCUCGAAACCUCAGUAACCUAGAAGAUGUCUAAAAGUCAAUUGGGGUCAAGGAACAAGCCUCUACUCACAUGCAUGUGGGCAAAUGAAGUCACAGAACAAAUAACCUACCCUGCAUCCAGGCACGGAGUCCAGGGACACCCCCUGCUGCUGCCUAAGAGAAAGUGGCCCAAGAAGCACUGGCCCGGUGCCUGCUGAUGCCAGGAGCCCUCUGCUACUGCCUGACACAAGCAUCCUGCGCUUCCCCCUCCCAGGCCCUCCCCGAAAGCGUGGGCCACAGGUACCACUCCCUAUGCCACUGAGCCCCACAUUUCCCAUCCCCCAAGCCACUCCCACCAGCCCCAGAGCUUUCCUACAUUUAUGAUUUGUCCAAAAAUGUGAUGCCCUUCAGCCCCCAGAAGGUCAUCCUCCAGGCUGUGAUCGUCACACAGGGGGUCCCACAUGGGGUCCUCACAGGCCUUCAACCCAGCACAAAUCGUGGCCUGGUUUGACCUUUGAAAUAUCUCAACAUCUAAAAUUCAGAGCUUUUUUGGAAUAUUUAUUUUCCAUAGAUAUAAUUCUUUCAAAUAAAUUCCUUAGAAAACAAUAUCCAGUGUUUCAUUAUUUGUGCUAACAUGUGCUUUUCCCAUUUUGGAGAUGAAAAAUAUCAUUAGAAAUAAAAACUCAAGGGACAGAUUAAAC
rnacentral:lncRNA from 10 species